GAGCGAAGGUCGCGCCUGAGAUGCUGUCAUCGUUGAUUAGGAAAAUGGAUGGUAUCCAGAGCCAGAUAGACGACCUCAAGAAGUUUAUCGCCAGUAGUCUCUCAACACUGAACUGGUGGAACUUCUGAAGCAUGGCCUGACCAAGAACGUUGUCUUGCCUAUUAUAAGAAGCAAUUCCGGAAUGCCAUGUAACUCCUCUGACAUGAAGACUCCCACCCCUGCUGCCACCAAAAAACAAGCUAGGACAACACUGCGAACCUACAAGUGACGUCAGAAGCUGUCAUCCUCCAUCUUCGAUGAUCCAGACUAUGUGCCCAUCCCCACACCACCUUCCAGCCCGGAGGAAAGAUAUCAUCACUUCAGGGGGACGGACAGCAGAAGCCAUUCGGUGUCGAAAAGGAGACCUAAAACUGAACCUCCAAAGGGAAAAAGGAAAUUGUUCAAUGCUGCAAGAGGAAAGAACGGAACAAAAGAAUCAUGCCCCUACAACAGCAGUAGGGACAUCCCUGUUGUGAAAUGGGCUGAGUAGCAGAAUUUCUUACAGGUUCGACAUGUUGAUAAGAGUAGAUGGGCAAAGGAAGUCGGUUCCAUCCUCCCAGCGGGCAUGCCGAUGACUUUUUUCCCGACCGAGGACAUGCAAGUCGUUGGGCUUGACUUGGCAGCUGCUGCAUAUAUCUUUAACAACGUCCUGGACCAAGAUGAGCUGCUUGUUCCUAACCCUCACUGUGCCGUCACACGUGGGGCAUUGAGGACCCUUGAGCCUGGAAAGCUCAUUGUGGACGACGUUCUGAUACUGCUGGCCUCAAUGCUUACUCAAAGCUCGAGCAGAGUUCAAUGGUUCUUGCCAACAACCCUCACGGUUAGUUUUGUACUUUGUCUCUCUCUAUACUUAUGUAGGAUAAUGUUCAACAGGAAAUUUAUCAGAUGUGUGUUCUAGGCUAAUUCAAUUGAUGUCUUCGU